GUCUUUUUGAUUAUAAUUUAAAGUCUAACCUGCCCAAUGAUUAUUUAAAUGGCCGCGGUAUUUUGACCGUGCAAAGGUAGAUUAAUCAUUAGUUUUUUAAUUGAAAGCUCGUAUGAAUGGUUGAACGAGAAAAUUACUGUCUCAAUUUUAUUUAAUUAGAAUUUUAUUUUUAAGUUAAAAAGCUUAAAUUUAUUUAAAAGACGAGAAGACCCUAUAGAGUUUAAUAUUUAAUUAAAUUUUAUUUUUAUAAUAUAUAUUUAUAUUUAUUUAUUUAAAUAUUUAAUUGGGGUGAUUUAUAAAUUAAAAAAACUUUAUUUUAUUUUCAACAUAAAUGUAUGAAUUAAUGAUCCAUUAUUAGUGAUUAUAAGAUUAAAUUACCUUAGGGAUAACAGCGUUAUCUUUUUAUAGAGUUCAAAUCGAAAAAAAGGAUUGCGACCUCGAUGUUGGAUUAAAAUUUAUUUUUGGUGUAGAAGCUAAAAUUAUUAAGUCUGUUCGACUUUUAAAAUUUUACAUGAUCUGAGUUUAAACCGGUGUGAGCCAGGUUGGUUUCUAUCUUUAAAAAAAUUAAGUGUUUUAGUACGAAAGGACCAAAUAUUUAUAAAAAUUAUUUUUAUUUGAUUAU
rnacentral:rRNA from 1 species